CCUACGGGUGGCAGCAGUGGGGAAUAUUGCACAAUGGGCGAAACCCUGAUGCAGCGACGCCGCGUGAGUGAAGAAGUCUUUCGGUAUGUUAAGCUCUAUCUGCAGGGAAGAAAAUGACGGUACCUGACUAAGAAGCCCCGGCUAACUACGUGCCAGCAGCCGUGGUACUACGUCGGGGGCAAGCGUUAUCCGGAUUUACUGGGUGUUAAGGGAGCGUAGACGGCGGAACAAGUCAGAAGUGAAAACCCGGGGCUCAAACCUCGGAGUGCUUUUGAAACUGUUUGGCUGGAGUGCAGAAGAGGUAGGCGGAAUUCGUAGUGUAGCGGUGAAAUGCGUAGAUAUUAGGAGGAACACCGGUGGCGAAGGCAGCUUACUGGGCUGUAACUGACGUUGAGGCUCGAAAGCGUGGGUAGCAAACAGGAUUAGAUACCCUUGUAGUC
rnacentral:rRNA from 1 species